GCUUCUCCUGUCUGUUUUUCUGUCCCACAAGUACCAGCUACAUCAGCAGCUCCAAACUCCAGUCUCUGUUUUCUCUACCUGGACAAGAAGAAAAUAAAGCUGAUUGGGAUCCCCCAACAUCAAUCCCGGAGUUCUGGUUCAAAGGACGGUUGGGCGAGCUCUGCCCCGAGGUGGAGACGGAGUUUAAGAGCAGCUAGUGAAUAAUUGACCCGUGUGACUGGCAGAGGAAAUUGCUGAUCGCCUAUCACCAAGCCCAGGAGAAACCUUCUGGAAUGAGCCACAGCAUCUGCACAGGAGGGCAGAAGGCAGCCUGUGACCAUGCAAACAACAUCCUCAUUGCAGACACGAGCAAGUCAAGAAGAGGGCUGUCAUUCCUAGGA